UCCGAUAUGGUGUAGUGGCCAACAUGAUGCCCUCUCAUCUCCAUGAGAGGUUAGGCAUAGCCCCGAGUUCGAUUCUCGGUUUCGGAA
rnacentral:tRNA from 2 species